GACGAACCGAGCGAACGUUGUUCGGAAUCACUGGGCUUAAAGGGCGCGUAGCGGGCUGCCAAGUUUGGGGUGAAAUCCUCGGGCUCAACCGGGGAAGUGCCUUGAAUACUGGCGGUCUGGAGGGAGGUAGGGGCGUGCGGAACUGUAGGUGGAGCGGUGAAAUGCGUUGAUAUCUACAGGAACUCCGGUGGCGAAGGCGGCACGCUGGACCUUUUCUGACGCUGAGGCGCGGAAAAGCUAGGGGGAGCAAACGGGG
rnacentral:rRNA from 1 species